rnacentral:rRNA from 1 species
CCGAUGAGGUGGAAACGGACAGAGCUGGCGUAUCUGGCCUGCAUUCAGCCGCCGCGCGUCGGGCCCCGGUUUGCCGCACUCCAGAUUGGGAAGGUGGCUGGGCUGCUGGCGUGCUGGUGGUGCAUUUGCAGGUGGAGUGCGCCGAGGCGCUCGGCUCAGCGGCAUGAGCUCGGCUUUGAGGCCAACCGUGCAAGCGGUCUGGUACCCGGGUCGGGGGAGUGUUGUUUGGGCUGAGUGUUCGCGCUUGGGCAUUGGUUUCGGGCCCGGGUGGGUGCCGAGCUGGCGGUCGACGGCGGUCGCAUGCGACACGUGUCAGCAGUCAGUUCGGUCCUGCUCGAGCUCUCACGUGUCCGGCCUCGGUGUAAAAGCCGGUCAUCUGUCCGWCCCGUCUUGAAACACGGACCAAGGAGUUUAGCGUGUGCGCGAGUCAUUGGGCGUUGAAAACCCAAAGGCGCAAUGAAAGUGAAGGUCUGCCUUGUGCAGCUGAUGUGUGAUCCUGGGUGCUGCGGUGCCCGGGCGCAACAUAGUCCCGUCCCGACUGCAUGCAGUGGGGCGGAGACAGAGCGUACGCGCUGAG